rnacentral:rRNA from 1 species
GACGAACGCUGGCGGCGUGCUUAACACAUGCAAGUCGAACGGAAAGGCCCUGCUUGCAGGGUACUCGAGUGGCGAACGGGUGAGUAAUACGUGGGUGAUCUGCCCUGCACUUCGGGAUAAGCUUGGGAAACUGGGUCUAAUACCGGAUAGGAGCCAUCUUUAGUGUGGUGGUUGGAAAGUUUUUUCGGUGUAGGAUGAGCUCGCGGCCUAUCAGCUUGUUGGUGGGGUAAUGGCCUACCAAGGCGGCGACGGGUAGCCGGCCUGAGAGGGUGUACGGCCACAUUGGGACUGAGAUACGGCCCAGACUCCUACGGGAGGCAGCAGUGGGGAAUAUUGCACAAUGGGCACAAGCCUGAUGCAGCGACGCCGCGUGGGGGAUGAAGGCCUUCGGGUUGUAAACUCCUUUCGCUAGGGACGAAGCUUUUUGUGACGGUACCUAGAUAAGAAGCACCGGCUAACUACGUG